rnacentral:rRNA from 1 species
GAUGAACGCUAGCGGCAGGCUUAACACAUGCAAGUCGAGGGGCAGCAUAAACAUUGCUUGCAAUGUUUGAUGGCGACCGGCGCACGGGUGCGUAACGCGUAUGUAACCUACCUCAAACAGGGGCAUAACACUGAGAAAUUGGUACUAAUUCCCCAUAACACUCUGGGAGGCAUCUCCUGGGGUUGAAAGUUCCGGCGGUUUGAGAUGGACAUGCGUUGUAUUAGCUAGUUGGUGAGGUAACGGCUCACCAAGGCGACGAUACAUAGGGGGACUGAGAGGUUAACCCCCCACAUUGGUACUGAGACACGGACCAAACUCCUACGGGAGGCAGCAGUGAGGAAUAUUGGUCAAUGGACGCAAGUCUGACCAGCCAUGCCGCGUGCAGGAUGACGGCUCUAUGAGUUG